rnacentral:rRNA from 1 species
CCUACGGGAGGCAGCAGUGGGGAAUAUUGCGCAAUGGGCGCAAGCCUGACGCAGCGACGCCGCGUGAGGGAUGAAGGUCUUCGGAUCGUAAACCUCUGUCAGCAGGGAAGAACGGUCACUGUGCUAAUCAGCAGUGAAUUGACGGUACCUGCAAAGGAAGCACCGGCUAACUCCGUGCCAGCAGCCGCGAUAAUACGGAGGGUGCGGGCGUUAAUCGGAAUUACUGGGCGUAAGGCGCUCGUAGGCGGUCUGUCAAGGCAAGGGUGAAAUGCCCGGGCUCAACGUGGGAACUGCCUUUGAAACUGGCAAACUGGGGUGUGUGCGAGGAUAGUGGAAUUCCAGGUGUAGGAGUGAAAUCCGUAGAUAUCUGGAGGAACAUCAGUGGCGAAGGCGACUAUCUGGCACAUAACUGACGCUGAGGAGCGAAAGCGUGGGUAGCAAACAGGAUUAGAUACCCGGGUAGUC